CCCCGGCAGACGACGACGAAGAACCAGCAAUAUCUCUGAUGGAGUACAUAUUCUGAAACAACUGAUCCUGUUGAUUGUUCUGCUGUGUCUGAAAACUGGGAAGGCUAAAACCAUGCAGUAAUCCCAAGUUAGGCCCAAAGGAUUUAAAUUACGUUGCCCUAUAGAUGGCAGCGCCAUACUGCUGGAAGCCGAACCCGAACUCGAACCCGAGAGUUUGGGGCGCUUGCUUUUACGACAACCGCCACCAACUGGAACAUUACGAAGAGUUCCACCUUGAGUCCAGUACCUCCUACAGCCCUUACAAAAGAAUCUAGGCUGAGAUAAACUAUAGUUGUUGUAAUAGCAGAAUUUGGUGUUCUUCGAAUUGCAGCGAGGGCAUGGCUGUGGUGGUAGGCUGCUGUUAUUCUGCCCACCACCACCACCGCCAUCACCGCCAUCACCACCAUCACCACCACCACCAGCACCGGGUGCAUCUCCUGCACCGCGUCUGUUCUGCUGAUUAUUCUCCUGUUGCUGGUGUUGUCCAUUUUGUCCAACAACAAUAAACUGGUGAUCCAUUUUUUCUGAAAUUUUUUUUGGUUAAACAAAAAUGAUCACAAAAAAAAGAAUACAUGCAGAUUAUAUAUAUGAAGUACAAAAGCAGGUAAAGAGAGUAGAGAGAGAAAGAUAACUGUUACCUAAUUCUGUUGCAUGUGAUCAACGGAGUGGAUUUGUUCAAAGGUUGAAACAGUAGUGUUCACUUAUAUACUAGUAAUAGUACUACAUCAAAAUCUUGAUUAAAUCUCAAAAAAAUUGCAUUAAAAAAUGAAUUUUGAUGUAAACUAAAUUAAGGGAUCUUGAAUCAAAUUUAUGUGAAACAAACCCAGAAUUUUUUUUUGAAGAUGAAGCUGACUACUUUACUAAGGAAAAUACAAAAUCAUAUUUGUUUUCACAGAUUAAUUAAAAGACAGUAAGGAAAAAGGAGUGAGUUUCUAACUUGUUGAUAACCCCUUUUUAUAGGUGCUAAUUAAAUCAAAUGAUAUUAACCCAAAAACUAUAUUAAGAGUGUAAUUAAGCAAGGUGUCAGAAACAGAAUCAAGAGGUGAUUUAGGGUGUGUUUUAAUGGUGGACUAAAAAGGAAAAUAAUCACAGAGAGAUUGAAAAAUAACUAAUUAAUUAUAUUGUUAAGUAAUAAAAAUAUUAGAGAAGUUAAGGGUUUGUUUGGUGGUGGUGGUGGAAGAAACUAGAAGAAAAGUGGUGGUUUUGGUGGUUGUAAAGAUGUUAGAAUGGGUGGUGAGUGGUGUAUAUGGUGGUGGUUUUCCUCUCUCUUUCAAUCUCAAUCUCAAUCUCAAUCUAUCUGAAAGUACUAUUUGCUUUGCUUUA